UUGGUUCACGCAAACCCCACCUACCCUCCUACAUCUUUCCAAUUCAUUCACACCUCACUCUGCACAGGACAGACAACAGAGAAGGACGUGUCUUUUGCACCUGAAAGAUUAGAUUUUACAGAUGGGUUUUUCAUUCCCAUGCCUACUUUACUCCCAUUCGCUCCUGCUCACCACGCAUGCUUCACGCUCAUUGGUCCAUGCAUAACGCCACGCACUUCCGGCAUGACGCACUUUCAUUUGUCAAUUAAAAACUGACAGAAGUGAAACUACUUCUCCUGCUACUCGGUCAGGGCACCCCUGCAGAUCACGCUGAAGCCGAGCAGCAUGGCGCCCAGGACAACCGAUGUCCCCACUGAGAUCUGGUGGAGGAUGCAGAGGUGAAAUAUGGACAUACAAAAUGAUCAAUAUUACAUGAUUACGUGUGAACAUGUCAAAUUUAAAUCCUACUAAACCUUCUGUAGUGGUUGAGUAUUCAUCUAAUAUAAGUUUGAUGUAGCUUAGACAAAGGUGCACCUGAUACCAAUAUCAACAAACGUAUAACGUACUGCAGGCAAUUCCUACAUAGUACAGGAGAUCUGCAAUGCAAUGGAACCAUAUCAUUUUGAUUUUCGGUAUUGUUUUUUAGGUUUGACAUUAGGUUUUACUUCCAAGUAUGUGGGUGAGAUAAAUGAGCUAACUUAGACUUGUAUUAAACCCAUCUGAGGCUGACAUUUCAUUUCAUUUCACUGUCUAAGUAAAGCUGUGUGUCACUGUCCAAGUUGAUGAGUGAAAUAUUAUCAUAACUGACUUGUAUGAUGAAAAGAAAGAAUAAAAAAUUAAGACCUUGA